CAUAUUGUCCGUACGAAAGCAGUCAAAUUUCUCAUCUGGUCUGACUGUCCAAACACCGCCUUAAAUCAAUAAGAUGGCAGAUAGUUAUGCUACUCUCGAACAACCAUCGGAAAAAAUGUCUCCGGCUAACCUUAAGGACAGUAUGGAAGAGCUUCUGAGGUUUACUCUGGAGUCUCAUAUAGACGAAACCCUACAAUUCGAUCUACAGCUCUCCAAGGCCUUCUGCUACAACCUCCUCAAAGACGACCCCACCGACACCAACUCUUCCCCGAUCGAUUCUUCUCUAGGAGUCCCGUCAUAUCCUUUAUACAAGCAACUGGCAUCGUCAUUAUUAGAAUCAAUAGAUUCUAAAACCUUCUGUAGGUCACACUGCAAUUUUAUGUUGAUCCCCAAAGGAAUCUCCUUUAAGCAGAAAGAAGCUGAAUGGCAGAAACUGGUUUUCCAUAAGGGAUCUGAACUAGUGAAUCUUAUGAAGACUGCAGUCCAUGAACUUCAUGUUCAGGAGCCUUUCUUUUCACAGCUAAAAGAUGGCCGGAAAACAAUUGAAGGAAGGUGUGCUGUUGGUGACUACAAUAGGAUUGCAUCAGGAUCUUUGAUCCUUUUUAACAAAUGUGUGAUUUUUGAAGUCCAGGAUGUACAUCGUUAUGCUUCAUUCUCCAAUAUGUUGGGUGCGGAGAGUCUUGCAAAAGUUCUUCCUGGAGUUGCAACCAUUGAAGAAGGUGUACAAAUCUUCAGGAGAUUUUACACAGAAGAGAAGGAAAUGUCAAAUGGUGUUCUUGCAAUCUAUGUUUCAAAAGUGGAUAUUCAGCCAUACAUUUUGUUGGCAACCCUACUUUCUGAAUUGAGUUAUGGGGGUGUUCAAGGCCUUCUAGGUCUGACACAUACCACAGGGACAGUUCCAGAUGCACUUCCCCCACCAAGAUCAACUCUUCUAUCAUCAUUUAUGCUGCCAUGUAAGCCAAAUGUAAAAGGUUGUACCUUGGCUCAUGGAGCUAGGGCUUUGGCAAAGCAUGCUAAUAGGAGUAGUAGUAAAUACUGGGGUACUUUGAAAGGAAAUGAUUCUGAUAAAAAUAAGCUUGCAAUGGAUGUCAUACGUCACUUAAUAGCACAUUGUGGCUGGUUGAAUGUGCAUAUUGUCCCACCUCAUGGUGCUGUCUUCGAAAUAAGAGUCGCUGGUGGAUAUGGUGCAAGGUGGUCUAAAGAUGGAAGUGAGUUUAUUGGAUUUCUGGAGCCGUACAUGGAAGACGGUCAUUCAAAGGGAUAAUGCACUAAUUUUGUUUGGGGGAGAGUUGUUUUCUUUAGCUCGUUUGAUUUGGAUAGCAACCGAGUCUUCGGUCUUUCACCUGCACAAUUGAGCAAACAAUGAGAGUGGGAGGCCGGGGAGUCUCCAAUGCUAAAGUUAGUAUAUCCCCUUAGUAGUUCAUGCAUGAGCUUGGAGGAAUCAGAGUUCUUCGUACCUGGAGAUCGACUUUUAUAUAGGGUUUCUGAGUAGCAUCUGGGACGACGUCAUUAAUGCGGCGUGGAGUCUAGGGGGUGGCGCCAUUAAUGCGACGUGACUUCCUAACUCACUUUACUCUACGGGUGUUCCUUGUUAAGCCCUUUCAUGCUUGCUAUCAGGAGAUCAAGAGUUCUCCAUAUUUAUCGCCCACUUGACUGUGCAGGUUUGCCGAGGGUAGGGCAUCAUCGGGGUGGUGUCAGGGCGGCGAGUCCCAUCUGCCCCUACCGUCCGCUUUAUCCAUGCAUGGGUUGCUUCAUGGGUGGGUUUCGCUCGUGGGCCGAGUAUUCCACAAAGGCCCACUGACUCCUUUUGGAUAAGGGUUGUUGGGCUUGGCUAGGCUCUUUGACUUACUUCUCCCGUGAACUUGCUAUACGGGCCGAUGGGGGGAGGAAAACCACCUUACAAUUGUUAUUAGAGAAAAAACAAAUCAAUGGGCAAGUACGUUUGGGUAGUGAGAAGUGUUGA